CACUUUUAUACCUACCUGCAUAAUUGAUACCUAAUAAACCUUUUCAGUAAUCUAUGUGGAAAGAUGCGAAACAUCCGUCUGCUAUAUGGGACGCCUUGAGCCUCGUUCUCGUGUUAUAGCUUAUUUCCAGAAUUUAUUGGUCAAACUAAAAAUCUUUUUCAUGCAUGCGUUGAAAAAGGAUGUUUUGCACCUUGCUCGUGAGGGUAAAACUUAAAAUACAUUCCAUUUAAGGUGGUUCUAAAUUUAAAGCUUUGUGUCGUCAAAUUGUUGUGACGUAUUACCGAAAAGUUCUAUUCUAUCACUCCAUCUUUACGAUAUAGAUCAGAUAGCUGAGCCCGAUAUCAUGCAUUGCGGACAGCGGCUUAGAUACGCGCAUGCGGGCAUUAACGCAAAACACGAGUUUCAUUGAUGAAAAUAUAAAAUAUGGACAAUUUUUUGCAAAUAUAUGCUUUAUAACUUCUUUAAAUCUCGAAUAUGGAUGUUUAUAUGAACUUUGAAGGCUGAAGUAUUGUUUAAAAUCAUCGAUUCGUCAUGUUCACUCCAAAGAAUGGCUCGGACGAAGGUUUGCCCUGCUCUCAAUAAUUACAAUAAACCACUUGAAAGCACUUACAAACCUAUCAAAGCAAUUGUCACACUUGAUCCAUAGCCAGUGAUGGACAACUAGAGAGGAGAAAGAGUCAGGAUUCUAAUAAAUCGGGAUCCUCGGGGCGGUUCAAUAUCGGACGAUAUUCUUCGUACGCGUUCACGCCGUGUUGUCCCCACAUCUUUCGUAUGUCCCACGGCAGG